rnacentral:rRNA from 1 species
GAUGAACGCUGGCGGCGUGCCUAACACAUGCAAGUCGAGCGAGAAUUUACAGAAUGAAGCUUCGGCAGAUUUCUGUAAAGGAAAGCGGCGGACGGGUGAGUAACGCGUGAGUAACCUGCCCUUUGGAGGGGGAUAACACAUCGAAAGAUGUGCUAAUACCGCAUAACAUACAUUUACCGCAUGAUAGAUGUAUCAAAGAUUUAUCGCCAAAGGAUGGACUCGCGUCUGAUUAGAUAGUAGGUGAGGUAACGGCUCACCUAGUCGAUGAUCAGUAGCCGAACUGAGAGGUUGAUCGGCCACAUUGGGACUGAGACACGGCCCAGACUCCUACGGGAGGCAGCAGUGGGGAAUAUUGCGCAAUGGGGAAACCCUGACGCAGCAACGCCGCGUGAAGGAUGAAGGUCUUCGGAUUGUAAACUUUUGUCUUAUGGGACGAAAAAGGACGGUACCAUAGGAGGAAGCCACGGCUAACUACGUGCCAGCAGCCGCGGUAACAC